GACCCUGCCCAAAGGCCAGCUGGAGUCCAUUGUGGAGAACAUCCGCAUCUACGGUAUCCACGCCCUGCUGGUGGUCGGCGGGUUUGAGGCCUAUGAAGGGGUGCUGCAGCUAGUGGAGGCUCGCGGGCGCUACGAGGAGCUCUGCAUCGUCAUGUGCGUCAUCCCAGCCACCAUCAGCAACAACGUCCCUGGCACCGACUUCAGCCUUGGCUCCGACACCGCUGUAAAUGCCGCCAUGGAGAGCUGUGACCGCAUCAAACAGUCUGCCUCGGGCACCAAGCGCCGUGUGUUCAUUGUGGAGACCAUGGGGGGUUACUGUGGCUACCUGGCCACCGUAACUGGCAUUGCUGUCGGGGCCGACGCCGCCUACGUCUUCGAGGACCCUUUCAACAUCCAUGACUUGAAGGUCAACGUGGAGCACAUGACGGAGAAGAUGAAGACGGACAUUCAGAGGGGCCUGGUGCUGCGGAACGAGAAGUGCCAUGACUACUACACCACGGAGUUCCUGUACAACCUGUACUCAUCAGAGGGCAAGGGUGUCUUCGACUGCAGGACCAACGUCCUGGGCCAUCUGCAGCAGGUGUGGGGCAGGGGUGAGGCUCUGAGAGGCCUGCCCCUCUUCCCUGCCACCAUCUGUCCCUGGGCCCAGAGGUCCCAGCCCUCACGGGCACCCACAGGCACUCCCUGCAGGCCCUCGGGCACGUGUGCCCUUCCCCAGUGAGGGGACUGAGGCCUGUAUCUAGGUGAGGUCUCAUUCCAAGAAGGGGUGGGGCUGGGGCUGGAGCCGGGGCCCAAGCCAGGGCACUCACAUGCUGAGCCGAGCUCCCCACCCCUGCCAGGCCUCCCGCGGCCACUUCCGCCGAGCCCCUCACCUAGAUCCUGGUAUGUUCCCUGCCUUACGGUGGCCCUGCAGGAAGCCUGCGUCCUGGGGUUUUCUGAGCCAGGGAGGGG
rnacentral:sRNA from 1 species